rnacentral:rRNA from 1 species
GAUGAACGCUGGCGGCGUGCCUAAUACAUGCAAGUCGAGCGAACAGACGAGGAGCUUGCUCCUCUGACGUUAGCGGCGGACGGGUGAGUAACACGUGGAUAACCUACCUAUAAGACUGGGAUAACUUCGGGAAACCGGAGCUAAUACCGGAUAAUAUAUUGAACCGCAUGGUUCAAUAGUGAAAGACGGUUUUGCUGUCACUUAUCGAUGGAUCCGCGCCGCAUUAGCUAGUUGGUAAGGUAACGGCUUACCAAGGCAACGAUGCGUAGCCGACCUGAGAGAGUGAUCGGCCACACUGGAACUGAGACACGGUCCAGACUCCUACGGGAGGCAGCAGUAGGGAAUCUUCCGCAAUGGGCGAAAGCCUGACGGAGCAACGCCGCGUGAGUGAUGAAGGUCUUCGGAUCGGAAAACUCUGUUAUUAGGGAAGAACAAAUGUGUAAGUAACUAUGCACGUCUUGACGGUACCUAAUCAGAAAGCCACGGCUAACUACGUG